GAUGAACGCUGGCGGCGUGCCUAAUACAUGCAAGUCGAGCGAACGGACGAGAAGCUUGCUUCUCUGAUGUUAGCGGCGGACGGGUGAGUAACACGUGGAUAACCUACCUAUAAGACUGGGAUAACUUCGGGAAACCGGAGCUAAUACCGGAUGAUAUGUUGAACCGCAGGGUUCAAAAGUGAAAGACGGUCUUGCUGUCACUUAUAGAUGGAACCGCGCUGCAUUAGCUAGUUGGUAAGGUAACGGCUUACCAAGGCGACGAUGCAUAGCCGACCUGAGAGGAUGAUCAGCCACACUGGAACUGAGACACGGUCCAGACUCCUACGGGAGGCAGCAGUAGGGAAUCUUCCGCAAUGGGCGAAAGCCUGACGGAGCCACGCCGCGUGAGUGAUGAAGGUCUUCGGAUCGUAAAACUCUGUUAUUAGGGAAGAACAUAUGUGUAAGUAACUGUUCACAUCUUGACGGUACCUACUCAGAAAGCCCCGGCUAACUACGUG
rnacentral:rRNA from 1 species